UACGUAGGGGGCUAGCGUUGUCCGGAAUCAUUGGGCGUAAAGAGCGUGUAGGCGGCCCGGUAAGUCCGCUGUGAAAGUCGGGGGCUCAACCCUCGAAUGCCGGUGGAUACUGUCGGGCUAGAGUCCGGAAGAGGCGAGUGGAAUUCCUGGUGUAGCGGUGAAAUGCGCAGAUAUCAGGAGGAACACCGAUGGCGAAGGCAGGUCUCUGGGCAUUAACUGACGCUGAGGAGCGAAAGCAUGGGGAGCGAACAGG
rnacentral:rRNA from 1 species